UUUUUUGAUAUUGUGUGACUGCCAUAAUGUUUUUAUUUUAUAAUAUAUAUUUUAUAUUUUAUUUAUAUAUAAUAUAUAUAAGUGAUAAAAAUAAUACACAUUAACUUUUCAUAAAAUUUGUAUAUGUGAAAACAUUACAAAUGAAUAUAAUAACAAAAUUGUUAAAUAUUUUGUUCAUCAAGAAAAUGUUUAAAUAAGAUAUUUAUUAACACGAAAAAAUAAAUAAAUAAAUAAAUAAAAUACAUAUAUAUAUAUAUAUAUAUAUAUAUAUAUAUAUAUAUAUAUUUAUAUUUAUAUUUAUAUUUAUAUUUAACAAUUUAGAGGGGUAAAAUAUGUCAGUUUUAUGUCACACCUUAUUUAGUUUUUUUAAGGACCUUAGGAAUUUAUACAAACCAUAUACAGCAUUUUCUUUCUUUUUCUUCCCAUGUGCUAUAAAUAUGUAUGGAAUUAUAAAAUUUAAUAAUUCAGAUUACCAUAUAAAUAAAAACGUAACAGAUGCCAAUGCAUAUAUGAAAAGGACUGCCCAAGAAAAAUAAUACAAUGAAAUAAGAUAGAAAUUAAGCAAUAUCUUUUAAAUGGAAAUGAGGAAGGAAGAAAGAAAGAAAGAAAGAAAAAAAGAAAAAAAAAAGAAAGAAAGAAUAAAAGAAUAUUGUAUAAUUUCUCCUAAAAAAAUAAAAUAUUUUACUAUAUAUAUAUAUAUAUAUAUAUAUAUAUAUAUAUAUAGUCAAACAGUUUAAUAAUAUAGAACAAAUUGAAUAUAUUUUUUUAAGAAUGUGAAAAAAAAGGAUAAAUGAUAAACAUAUAUAACAUUUUAAUUUACAAAAAAAAAAAACAAACAAAAUAAUAAAUAGGAAUAACUGAAAUGUUGUAUAAUAUAUUAUAAAUAUUCUAUUUUUAAACAUCAAAAUGUUUUUUUCAUUCAUUUUUUAUGAUAUUUCUUUUUUUUUCUUUCCAUUUGAUAUAUUUUUUUUUUUUUUUUUCGUUUUAGAAAAACUUUUUCUAACAUAACUAUAAAAACACAAUACUUAUAUAAUAUUUAUAUGUAAUAUGAGAAA